GCGCCCUUAGCUCAGCCGGAUAGAGCAACGCCCUUCUAAGGCGUGGGUCGCAGGUUCGAAUCCUGCAGGGCGCGCCA
rnacentral:tRNA from 1 species